rnacentral:rRNA from 1 species
UUAAAUUGAAGAGUUUGAUCAUGGCUCAGAUUGAACGCUGGCGGCAGGCCUAACACAUGCAAGUCGAACGGUAACAGGAAGCAGCUUGCUGCUUCGCUGACGAGUGGCGGACGGGUGAGUAAUGUCUGGGAAACUGCCUGAUGGAGGGGGAUAACUACUGGAAACGGUAGCUAAUACCGCAUAACGUCGCAAGACCAAAGAGGGGGACCUUC